rnacentral:rRNA from 1 species
GAUGAACGCUAGCGGCAGGCCUAACACAUGCAAGUCGAGGGGCAGCACGUCUUCGGAUGGUGGCGACCGGCGCACGGGUGCGUAACGCGUAUGCAACCUACCUCUUACAGUGGGAUAGCCCAGAGAAAUUUGGAUUAAUACCGCAUAGUAUACAGAUUUCAGCAUUGGGACUGUAUUAAACAUUUAUGGGUAAGAGAUGGGCAUGCGUUCUAUUAGUUAGUUGGAGUGGUAACGGCACCCCAAGACAGCGAUAGAUAGGGCCCGUGAGAGGGGAGUCCCCCACACUGGCACUGAGACACGGACCAGACUCCUACGGGAGGCAGCAGUGAGGAAUAUUGGACAAU